CGCACAUCAAAGGGGCGGGCCGCCCGAGGCCACGCCUCCCUCCUGCCCCGGAGGCUCCGGGAGCGCCAGCUAAGAUGAGAAACAGGAGGAACAGGAUGUAUGUAACUUGCCCAAGGUCACAGAGCCAAGAGGUGGCUGAAGCCAGACUUGAACCCAGGCAUUCAGCUAAGAAACUGCAUUCUUAAGCAAAACAUCACAAGACCUGCUCUAGAGAAAGUGUUCCUGCCUCCUGCUAGGCAAGGUGAUGCCCUAGGGGAAAGGAAGGAGGAGAAAGAGAUGGGGUUUCGCCAUGUUGCCCAGGAUGAUCUUGAACUCCCAGGCUCAAGUGAUCCUCCUACCUUGGCCUCCCAAAGUGCUGAGAUUACAG